AUUGAACGCUGGCGGCAGGCUUAACACAUGCAAGUCGAGCGAGCGGCGGACGGGUGAGUAAUGUCUGGGAAACUGCCUGAUGGAGGGGGAUAACUACUGGAAACGGUAGCUAAUACCGCAUCCCAUUAUGUGUGCCCAGAUGGGAUUAGCUAGUAGAUGGGGUAAUGGCUCACCUCGGCGACGCGCUCUAGCUGGUCUGAGAUGAUGAUCAGCCACACUGGGACUGAGACACGGCCCAGACUCCUACGGGAGGCAGCAGUGGGGAAUAGGGCACAAUGGGCGCAAGCCUGAUGCAGCCAUGCCGCGUGUAUGAAGAAGGCCUUAGGGUUGUAAAAUACUUUCAGCGGGGAGGCGUUACCCGCAGAAGAAGCACCGGCUAACUCCGUGCCAGCAGCCGCGGUAAUAC
rnacentral:rRNA from 1 species